CCUACGGGUGGCAGCAGUAAGGAAUAUUGGUCAAUGGACGCAAGUCUGAACCAGCCAUGCCGCGUGGAGGAUGAAGGUCCUCUGGAUUGUAAACUUCUUUUAUUUGGGAAGAAACUCCCGAUUUCCAUCGGGAUUGACGGUACCAGAUGAAUAAGCACCGGCUAACUCCGUGCCAGCAGCCGCGGUAAUACGGAGGGGGCGAGCGUUAUCCGGAUUAAGUGGGCGUAGGUGGUGCGGUAAGUCAGUGGUGAAAUCUCCGGGCUUAACCCGGAAACUGCCAUUGAUACGAGUUGUCUUGAAUACUCUGGAGGUGAGCGGAAUAUGUCAUGUAGCGGUGAAAUGCUUAGAUAUGACAUAGAACACCCAUUGCGAAGGCAGCUCACUACGGAAAUAUUGACGCUGAGGCACGAAAGCGUGGGGAUCAAACAGGAUUAGAUACCCCUGUAGUC
rnacentral:rRNA from 1 species